rnacentral:sRNA from 1 species
AAAAUUAUAGUAAAGUAAGGGCAACCAAGUUGGAUAGUUGGUGGGGUAAUCUCAUUAUAAAUGGGAUGAUGACUAUGAAGUAUGGUUUUACUCCAAGAAAGGAGUAGCAUGACUGAUUAUGAAAUACUGAUGAAAGUUUUCAUUGUCAUUGGUUUAGUAUUAGUGAGUAAAAAAUGACUAUAA